rnacentral:lncRNA from 1 species
AGUCCCGGCUAGGGACACAGCUCUUAGACUUUGAGCUAGACAACCAGGAGGACAGGAGGACCUAGUAUCCUGCCUCCAUCAGCCCAUCAUUUAUGCAAAUGCUACUUAGUUGCCGUCUAGAUGCAGGAUGCUGUCUGCCCUGUUAAAUGCUGUGUGAACCCAGAUGGAAGCUGAGCAGACAUCACACUCGUGAGCAGCUCCCCUUCCUAUGUUAUACGACCUCGUUCGCUGAAGUCAAAGAUGCAGAGGGGCCAAGGUGUGGGCUCCGGACCUCACACCAGUGUGGCAGAUUCAACAAGCCCAGAAUAAGCCUCUUCCUUUGCUCACAAUAAGAUUUAUUAUAGAAGCAACAACUUCUGCAUACCAGAGGUGAGAGAUGCAGCAAUCCUCUCCGUGCUCAUGAAGCUUAAAAUUUGGGGGAGAAAGUAGAGAAAAAUUAAGCCAACUGCCUCUUCAUUCCUCAGUCACACUCCUCCUCUGACCCUGCUCCAGGAGGCUCAUCUUGUCAGACUUCACACUGAAUGAGCGCUGAGGAUGCUGUAGAGUAUGAGCUGUGUGCAGGAUUGCUAUCUUCUGGUCCUGUACUCCUCAAGCUCAAAGGCCAACGUCCUGGCAUUUGUGUGACGGCUUUUGCCCUACCCUGCAGAAUUUGCAAUAGGCAGUCUCUACAUGUACUCAGGGCCCAGUGGGCAUUCAACAUGUUCAUUGAAUGACAA